rnacentral:misc_RNA from 1 species
UUAAGUUCAGCGGGUAUCCCUACCUGAUCCGAGGUCAACCUUGGUUUCCUUUGCGGCCACUACGGCACCGGGCCCAUGGAGCGAGGUUUCUGCUACGCUCAAAGCCGGCACCAUACCGCCGAUGUUUUUGGGGAACGCCUGCCUUUAGGGGCAGGCGGAUCCCAAUACCAAGCCAGGCUUGAUUGGUGAAAUGACGCUCG